rnacentral:rRNA from 1 species
UACGUAGGGUGCGAGCGUUGUCCGGAAUUAUUGGGCGUAAAGGGCUCGUAGGCGGUUUGUCGCGUCGGGAGUGAAAUCCACUGGCUUAACUGGUGGCUUGCUUUCGAUACGGGCAGACUGGAGGUAUGCAGGGGAGAACGGAAUUCCUGGUGUAGCGGUGAAAUGCGCAGAUAUCAGGAGGAACACCUGUGGCGAAGGCGGCCACCUGGGCCGACCCUGACGCUGAGGCGCGAAAGCGUGGGGAGCGAACCGG